rnacentral:rRNA from 1 species
GAUGAACGCUGGCGGCGUGCCUAAUACAUGCAAGUCGAGCGAACAGACGAGGAGCUUGCUCCUCUGACGUUAGCGGCGGACGGGUGAGUACCACGUGGAUAACCUACCUAUAAGACUGGGAUAACUUCGGGAAACCGGAGCUACUACCGGAUAAUAUAUUGAACCGCAUGGUUCAAUAGUGAAAGUCGGUUUUGCUGUCACUUAUAGAUGGAUCCGCGCCGCAUUAGCUAGUUGGUAAGGUAACGGCUUACCAAGGCAACGAUGGGUAGCCGACCUGAGAGGGUGAUCGGCCACACUGGAACUGAGACACGGUCCAGACUCCUACGGGAGGCAGCAGUAGGGAAUCUUCCGCAAUGGACGAAAGCCUGACGGAGCAACGCCGCGUGAGUGAUGAAGGUCUUCGGAUCGUAAAACUCUGUUAUUAGGGAAGAACAAAUGUGUAAGUAACUAUGCACGUCUUGACGGUACCUAAUCAGAAAGCCACGGCUAACUACGUG